rnacentral:rRNA from 1 species
CGAACGCGUUGGCCCAAUUGAUUGAUGGUGCUUGCACCUGAUUGAUUUUGGUCGCCAACGAGUGGCGGACGGGUGAGUAACACGUAGGUAACCUGCCCAGAAGCGGGGGACAACAUUUGGAAACAGAUGCUAAUACCGCAUAACAACGUUGUUCGCAUGAACAACGCUUAAAAGAUGGCUUCUCGCUAUCACUUCUGGAUGGACCUGCGGUGCAUUAGCUUGUUGGUGGGGUAACGGCCUACCAAGGCGAUGAUGCAUAGCCGAGUUGAGAGACUGAUCGGCCACAAUGGGACUGAGACACGGCCCAUACUCCUACGGGAGGCAGCAGUAGGGAAUCUUCCACAAUGGGCGCAAGCCUGAUGGAGCAACACCGCGUGAGUGAAGAAGGGUUUCGGCUCGUAAAGCUCUGUUGUUAAAGAAGAACACGUAUGAGAGUAACUGUUCAUACGUUGACGGUAUUUAACCAGAAAGUCACGGCUAACUACGUGCCAGCAGCCGCGGUAAUACGUAGGUGGCAAGCGUUAUCCGGAUUUAUUGGGCGUAAAGAGAGUGCAGGCGGUUUUCUAAGUCUGAUGUGAAAGCCUUCGGCUUAACCGGAGAAGUGCAUCGGAAACUGGAUAACUUGAGUGCAGAAGAGGGUAGUGGAACUCCAUGUGUAGCGGUGGAAUGCGUAGAUAUAUGGAAGAACACCAGUGGCGAAGGCGGCUACCUGGUCUGCAACUGACGCUGAGACUCGAAAGCAUGGGUAGCGAACAGGAUUAGAUACCCUGGUAGUCCAUGCCGUAAACGAUGAGUGCUAGGUGUUGGAGGGUUUCCGCCCUUCAGUGCCGGAG